GUCAAUGGCGAAAAUCUUCAGAAAAUGAAGAAAAAUUUUCAAGAUUUUCAUUUGCCAAUAUCUCUGCUAAUAACCGUUUAAAAUAAAAACUUCUGUAAGCACUGUUUGGUUUGGCGAUUACUACUUCAGCAAGUAUUCUGGAUACGCCAAGUAUCGCGAGUUGUUUUCUUUAACGCAUGCGCGUCUUCUCUGGUGGUUUGAAUCGGAUGAAGACAUUUACCACCCAACUCCGCAUCAAACCGAUUUUUACACUGAAAUAACACAGGCUGAAAUGGACAACCGUCUCGCCGCUCGUUCGACUUGGAACGACGUUUUGACUUCGUUCGACAUGGAACACCCAGGGCCAGAAGUUUUUCACUUGUUGCGGGAAUUUUCCCAUAGCUUAGUUUCCCUCCUCGACUAUGUCGAGGAUCAACUAAACGAAGAGUGAUGUAAAUUCUUCUUGAGUGAACUUGUUGAAAAAACACACUUUUUAAUAUUCCAAUCUGAAUAGUCUUUUUUCUUUCUUCAGUUAUGACAAAAUGGUUACGCCUCUUGCAUCUCUAGCUCCUCCCUCCCGCGGUCUCCGGGGGGAGGGUUGUCGUAUCGCUCAUGUACACUCGCUUCCAUAAAUAUGUAGGCCACCGCCCGCGGGUUGUACCGCUUCAAAUAUACCUUUACGGAAUGUUUACUUAAGCUUGUGAAAGGAAGAAAAUAAACUUGAGGGAU